rnacentral:rRNA from 1 species
GAUGAACGCUAGCGGCAGGCCUAAUACAUGCAAGUCGAGGGAGAAUGUUGGAUUCGUCUGACAUGAAACCGGCGCACGGGUGCGUAACACGUAUGCAACCUACCUUUAACUGGGGUAUAGCUCAGAGAAAUCUGAAUUAAUCCCCCAUAAGACUACGACAUGGCAUCAUGAUGUAGUUAAAGCUCCGGCGGUUAAGGAUGGGCAUGCGGUACAUUAGCUAGCUGGUGAGGUAAUGGCUCACCAAGGCUACGAUGUAUAGGGGGUCUGAGAGGAUGCGCCCCCACACUGGGACUGGGACACGAACCAGACUCCUGCGGGAGGCAGCAGUAGGGAAGAUUGGUCAAUGGACGCAAGUCUGAACCAGCCAUGCCGCGUGAAGGAUGAAGGCCCUAUGGGUCGUAAACUUCUUUUAUUAGGGAAGAAAAAACGGAAUGCGUCCUGUACUGACGGUACUUAAUGAAUAAGGAUCGGCUAACUUCGUGCCAGCCGCCGCAGUAA